rnacentral:rRNA from 1 species
AUCCUGGCUCAGGAUGAACGCUAGCGGCAGGCUUAAUACAUGCAAGUCGUGGGCGGCAUGAGUAGCAAUACUUGAUGGCGACCGGCAAACGGGUGAGGAACACGUACACAACCUUCCUUCAAGCGGGGAAUAGCCCAGAGAAAUUUGGAUUAAUACCCCAUAAUAUAUUUGAUAAGGCAUCUUAUUAAUAUUAAAGCUUCGGCACUUGAUGAUGGGUGUGCGGCUGAUUAGAUAGUUGGCGGGGUAACGGCCCACCAAGUCUACGAUCAGUAGCUGAUGUGAGAGCAUGAUCAGCCACACGGGCACUGAGACACGGGCCCGACUCCUACGGGAGGCAGCAGUAAGGAAUAUUGGACAAUGGACGAAAGUCUGAUCCAGCCAUGCCCGCGUGAAGGAUUAAGGUCCUCUGGAUUGUAAACUUCUUUUAUAUGGGACGAAAAAAGGGCAUUCUUGUUCACUUGACGGUACCAUAUGAAUAAGCACCGGCUAACUCCGUG